CCAAGUCAGAGUACUCCAAACUCUCUGCGACCUCGUUAGUGACAAAUACAGCGACGGCUCUCCUCAACAAUCGGGCCAGCAGGAGCUCUUUCCUGAGAGCGGCGUAUUCAUGUCCUCGUUCCGCCUUGCGACCAUGAGUCAUGCUUCAAAGCCCAAUUGCAUGCGUUUAUUCCACGCACUUUUUGACCACUUUUUUACAGUUGAGGAGUGUCAAAAUGCUGUCGCUUUUGGUCGCCCUGGAAACAAGCCUGUAGGAACAGGAAAACGCAUCCUUGACCGGAAAAAAGUUGAAGAAAUCCUAACGUAUGUCCUGAGAUGCGGUACCCUUCCUGAUUGGGACAAUAUUGAGGAGGCCAAGCUCAAGCAAGCUUUGGUAAACAAAUGUCGGGCAAGAGCAGGUUUUAAGUAGGCCCUUGUACCUGCCAAGUUCAUUCUGGGGUAGGAUGUUUCCUUUGUAAACAUGUUGAUAUUUUGGUCUGGGGCUGCGCAGUAUAUAUUGUAUAAAAAUGCCCUAUGAUGUAGCUUUUAGUACCACGUUAUACUGUGACAAUGCAUAUUGAGAUGUGCUGUGUCUCGCAAAUUUGGCACUGAUGCAACCUCACUAGGCCCUGCGAUGAGGUGGCGACUUGUCCAGGGUGUACCCCGCCUUCCGCCCGAUUGUAGCUGAGAUAGGCUCCAGCGCCCCCGCGACCCCAAAGGGAAUAAGCGGUAGAAAAUGGAUGGAUGGAGGGCAACCUCACUAACAAGCUAGCGGCUAAUAUCCCUUCACAGUACAAAGCUGUUUCCAAAUUAAAAACGGAAAUGACGCAGUAUGUUAGUAGCUUUUGUAACCAAUUUCAAAAUGUUUUAAUGAUCAUUUAUGUACCAAAUGUUAUAUUGUUAUCGCAGGAGGCUGUUCUAUUGUUUACAACAGUGUUUCUUAAUCAUAGGGCUGGGGCCCACUGUUUGGCUGCGAAUACCCCUCGGGGGCCGCCAAUAAAUAUCUGUUUCUUAGCUGUGGUCCGUCCAUAUGGGCCGCAAUGGUACUCAGUUGUAAUACACUUUAGUGUAAGAUGACUAAUUCGGUGUUUGUAUUUGAGUGGGUCCGAGACCCCUCUGUAGUGGAAAAGUUGGUCGGGCCCUGAGGUAAAAAAUGUUAAGUAUCCUUGGUGUUCAAUGUGUGAUUAUUUUUUAUAUGUAGACCAGUUCCAAACACCACGGUUACAAUUUUAUAAAUGUAUUUCAGUUUUUGCUUGGAAUAUUUCCAAAAUGGAAAUUUAGUCAUUUACUCACCCUCCUACUGAGAUUAAGUCAGGUGUUUUUUUUUUAACUACAGUACAUGGUUUGCUCAACAAGGAGUUAAAAAAAACUACACCGGUCUUUUUCACAACAACAAAGUGAGUACUUAAGGUUAAAUUCAUUUAGUUUUGUAUUUGUUUUAUUUUUUGUAUAUUGUUUUCUAUGUUGUUUUAAUUAUUGUGAAUGUCAAUAUGUACAUUAUGUAUGUACUAAUUAACUACAUUUAAAUUGUUGUAUUUAAUCUAUUUUUAUAUCUUAUAUUUUGUAUUUGUAUAUGUGUGUAGCCAAAUAAAGUGAUACACCGCUCAA